UCGGUCGUCUACUCCAUCUUCUCCAAUCUCGUCAUUGGUUCCAAAACCCUAACCCUACCUUCGAUUUUCUCCAAUCCCUCCACAAGCCAUAUGUUCAAAUCCAGACCCUACACUCCCUUCGACUGUUUCAGAACCUUUGUCUACAAAAGACUACUGUCGGACUCAUCAGAACGGCGAUCUUGAACGGGUUGAUUGCAAUGAGCGAGAUCAGGCGGCGAGGCACAUUAAUGCGUCAGAAACAAAAUCAAAAAAUGGACAGUUCAUCUUUGCCCUAAUUUUUCUCUCCAUUUCUGUUCAAAUGUAAGUAUGAUAUAGUCGUCUUCAAUGUAGGUUUUUUGGGUUACUGGUACUAGUCUUAACUAUGCACUUUAUGUGUUUGUUUAAUUGACUGAAUGGUGUGUUUGUUGGAAUAAUUUCUUGGUUGGAGACGAAGUUAACGAAGGAAGAUAGCGAGGGGUGGGAGUGAGUGGGGAUAUAAUGGGAGAGGGAAGUGGUGUUCGUACGAGUGAACCACUCUCAUCGUAUGCUCAAUCAACAUUGGCGUUGCUCUCUAUGUUCUUCACUCUUUGUACACUUUGCUUUACAUCUAUUCUCAUAAUGAUUCAUAAAACGUUGUCAAGUACACCCCAGAUCAGAUUAGGAAAAUGGAAGAUUCAAUUUGAAUACGAAAAGCAUCCGAACCUGUAGAGCUAAUUAAAUUGGUAAAAGAAAUCAAGAAGGAAUUUUUAAGUGAACAAAGCCCCGUCGAAUUGCCGCAGCACUUGAAACAAAAGAUAACGGAUGAGAUCGUUGGAAGGUUGAGGGGCUUGAGAGCCAGUGCUACUGUAAGCAAGCAGCGAAGUCAGUGCAUAUUACUUAAACCAAUAACUUUACCAAUUCUGGUCAUUCUUUGCCUGCAUUGUGAUAUAUUUCCUGAGUAGGAGUUUGCUUCUUGUAGAAUACAUGCUUGUGAAAAAGGCGACUAACUUUUGUUUUUGUUACCCACAGAAAAUGAUGAGGAAAACUUUUAAUUUUGGUUUACGUUAUUUUGAAUUAUGAACAACUUUAUGUAUUUAAACAUUAUAUAUGUAUUAUGAAAUAUUAUG